rnacentral:rRNA from 1 species
AUUGAACGCUGGCGGCAGGCCUAACACAUGCAAGUCGAACGGUAGCACAGUGAGCUUGCUCUCGGGUGACGUGUGGAGGACGGGUGAGUCAUGUCUGGGAAACUGCCUGAUGGUGGGGGAUAACUACUGGAACCGGUAGCUAAUACCGCAUAACGUCGCAGGUCCAAAGAGGGGGACGUUAGGGUCUCUUGCCUGCAGAUGUGCCCAGAUGGGAUUAGCUUGUUGGUGGGGUAACGGCUCACCUAGGCGGCGAUCCCUAGCUGGUCUGAGAGGAUGACCAGCCACACUGGAACUGAGACACGGUCCAUACUCCUACGGGAGGCAGCAGUGGGGAAUAUUGCACAAUGGGCGCAAACCUGAUGCAACCAUGCCGCGUGUAUGAAGAAGGCCUUCGGGUUGUAAAGUACUUUCAGCGGGUAGGAAGGCGAUAAGGUUAAUAACCUGGUCGAUUGACGUUACCCGCAGAAGAAGCACCGGCUAACUCCGUG